GACGAACGCUGGCGGCGUGCUUAACACAUGCAAGUCGAACGGAAAGGCCCUGCUUUUGUGGGGUGCUCGAGUGGCGAACGGGUGAGUAACACGUGAGUAACCUGCCCCUGACUUUGGGAUAACUUCAGGAAACUGGGGCUAAUACCGGAUAGGAGCUCCUGCUGCAUGGUGGGGGUUGGAAAGUUUCGGCGGUUGGGGAUGGACUCGCGGCCUAUCAGCUUGUUGGUGGGGUAGUGGCUUACCAAGGCUUUGACGGGUAGCCGGCCUGAGAGGGGGACCGGCCACAUUGGGACGGGGAUACGGCCCGGACUCCAACGGGAGGCAGCGGUGGGGAAUAUUGCACAAGGGGCGGAGGCCUAAUGCAGCAACGCCACGUGCGGGAUGACGGCCUUCGGGUUGUAAACCGCUUUCGCCUGUGACGAGGCGUGAGUGACGGUAAUGGGUAAAGAAGCACCGGCUAACUACGUG
rnacentral:rRNA from 1 species